rnacentral:misc_RNA from 1 species
UUUCCGUAGGUGAACCUGCGGAAGGAUCAUUACCGAGUGAGGGUCUCUCAGGCCCGACCUCCCACCCUGUGUUUUUGUGACCUUGUUGCUUUGGCGGGCCCGCCUCGAUGAGAGGCCGCCGGAAGCUCACCGCUUUGGGCCCGUGCCCGCCAGUAGCCCCCUUAAAUUCUUAAUAAACCUGUCGUCUGAGUCCAUGGAUAUAAUGAAAAAAAACUUUCAACAACGGAUCUCUUGGUUCUG